UGGGGAAUCUUCCGCAAUGGGCGAAAGCCUGACGGAGCAACGCCGCGUGAGUGAUGACGGCCUUCGGGUUGUAAAACUCUGUGAUCCGGGACGAAAAGGCAGAGUGCGAAGAACAAACUGCAUUGACGGUACCGGAAAAGCAAGCCACGGCUAACUACGUGCCAGCAGCCGCGGUAAUACGUAGGUGGCAAGCGUUGUCCGGAAUUAUUGGGCGUAAAGCGCGCGCAGGCGGCUUCCCAAGUCCCUCUUAAAAGUGCGGGGCUUAACCCCGUGAUGGGAAGGAAACUGGGAAGCUGGAGUAUCGGAGAGGAAAGUGGAAUUCCUAGUGUAGCGGUGAAAUGCGUAGAGAUUAGGAAGAACACCGGUGGCGAAGGCGACUUUCUGGACGAAAACUGACGCUGAGGCGCGAAAGCGUGGGGAGCAAACA
rnacentral:rRNA from 1 species